rnacentral:rRNA from 1 species
AACUAACGCUGGCGGCGUGCCUAACACAUGCAAGUCGUACGAGAAAGCCGGCUUCGGCUGGUGAGUAAAGUGGCGCACGGGUGAGUAACGCGUGGAUAAUCUGCCCUUAAGUGUGGAAUAACGUACCGAAAGGUGCGCUAAUACCGCAUAAUGCCUGGCAACACAAGUUGUCCGGCCAAAGAAGGCCUCUGUUUACAAGCUUUCGCUUCAGGAUGAGUCCGCGUACCAUUAGCUUGUUGGUGGGGUAAUGGCCUACCAAGGCUGCGAUGGUUAGCUGGUCUGAGAGGAUGAUCAGCCACACUGGAACUGAGACACGGUCCAGACUCCUACGGGAGGCAGCAGUGAGGAAUAUUGCACAAUGGGGGAAACCCUGAUGCAGCGACGCCGCGUGGAGGAAGAAGGUCUUCGGAUUGUAAAGCACUUUUCGGGAGGAAGAGGAAGGACUGUACUCCCAGAAUAAGCCUCGGCUAACUACGUGCCAGCAGCCGAC